GACGAACGCUGGCGGCGUGCCUAAUACAUGCAAGUAGAACGCUGAAGAGAGGAGCUUGCUCUUCUUGGCUGAGUUGCGAACGGGUGAGUAACGCGUAGGUAACCUGCCUUGUAGCGGGGGAUAUCUAUUGGAAACGAUAGCUAAUACCGCAUAACAAUGGAUGACACAUGUCAUUUAUUUGAAAGGGGCAAUUGCUCCACUACAAGAUGGACCUGCGUUGUAUUAGCUAGUAGGUGAGGUAAUGGCUCACCUAGGCGACGAUACAUAGCCGACCUGAGAGGGUGAUCGGCCACACUGGGACUGAGACACGGCCCAGACUCCUACGGGAGGCAGCAGUAGGGAAUCUUCGGCAAUGGGGGCAACCCUGACCGAGCAACGCCGCGUGAGUGAAGAAGGUUUUCGGAUCGUAAAGCUCUGUUGUAAGUCAAGAACGGGUGUGAGAGUGGAAAGUUCACACUGUGACGGUAGCUUACCAGAAAGGGACGGCUAACUACGUG
rnacentral:rRNA from 1 species